rnacentral:rRNA from 1 species
GACGGAGGCCCCGAGCGUUGUUCGGAAUCAUUGGGCUUAAAGCGCGUGUAGGCGGACCGGUAAGUGCUUUGUGAAAUCCCCGGGCUCAACCCGGGAAUUGCUUGGCAUACUGUCGGUCUUGAGGCAGGUAUGGGUCACUGGAACCUUAGGUGUAGCGGUGAAAUGCGUAGAUAUCUAAGGGAACGCCGGUGGCGAAAGCGGGUGACUGGGCCUGUCCUGACGCUGAGACGCGAAAGCGUAGGGAGCAAAC